rnacentral:rRNA from 1 species
CCUACGGGCGGCAGCAGUCGAGAAUCAUUCACAAUGGGGGAAACCCUGAUGGUGCGACGCCGCGUGGGGGAAUGAAGGUCUUCGGAUUGUAAACCCCUGUCAUGUGGGAGCAAAUUAAAAAGAUAGUACCACAAGAGGAAGAGACGGCUAACUCUGUGCCAGCAGCCGCGGUAAUACAGAGGUCUCAAGGGUUGUUCGGAAUCACUGGGCGUAAAGCGUGCGUAGGCGGUUUCGUAAGUCGUGUGUGAAAGGCGCGGGCUCAACCCGCGGACGGCAUAUGAUACUGCGAGACUAGAGUGAUGGAGGGGGAAGCGGAAUUCGCGGUGUAGCAGUGAAAUGCGUAGAUAUCGGGAGGAACACUCGUGGCGAAGGCGGGUUCCUGGACAUUAACUGACGCUGAGGCACGAAGGCCAGGGGAGCGAAAGGGAUUAGAUACCCUUGUAGUC